rnacentral:rRNA from 1 species
GGGAGCUGUAAGUAAGCUUUGAUCCAGAGAUUUCCGAAUGGGGAAACCCAGCAUGAGUUAUGUCAUGUUAUCGAUAUGUGAAUACAUAGCAUAUCAGAAGGCACACCCGGAGAACUGAAACAUCUUAGUACCCGGAGGAAGAAAAAGAAAAUUCGAUUCCCUUAGUAGCGGCGAGCGAAACGGGAAGAGCCCAAACCAACAAGCUUGCUUGUUGGGGUUGUAGGACACUCUAUACGGAGUUACAAAGGACGACAUUAGACGAAUCAUCUGGAAAGAUGAAUCAAAGAAGGUAAUAAUCCUGUAGUCGAAAAUGUUGUCUCUCUUGAGUGGAUCCUGAGUACGACGGAACACGUGAAAUUCCGUCGGAAUCUGGGAGGACCAUCUCCUAAGGCUAAAUACUCUCUAGUGACCGAUAGUGAACCAGUACCGUGAGGGAAAGGUGAAAAGCACCCCGGAAGGGGAGUGAAAUAGAACCUGAAACCGUGUGCUUACAAGUAGUCAGAGCCCGUUAAUGGGUGAUGGCGUGCCUUUUGUAGAAUGAACCGGCGAGUUACGAUUUGAUGCAAGGUUAAGCAGUAAAUGUGGAGCCGUAGCGAAAGCGAGUCUGAAUAGGGCGUUUAGUAUUUGGUCGUAGACCCGAAACCAGGUGAUCUACCCUUGGUCAGGUUGAAGUUCAGGUAACACUGAAUGGAGGACCGAACCGACUUACGUUGAAAAGUGAGCGGAUGAACUGAGGGUAGCGGAGAAAUUCCAAUCGAACCUGGAGAUAGCUGGUUCUCUCCGAAAUAGCUUUAGGGCUAGCCUCAAGUGAUGAUUAUUGGAGGUAGAGCACUGUUUGGACGAGGGGCCCCUCUCGGGUUACCGAAUUCAGACAAACUCCGAAUGCCAAUUAAUUUAACUUGGGAGUCAGAACAUGGGUGAUAAGGUCCGUGUUCGAAAGGGAAACAGCCCAGACCACCAGCUAAGGUCCCAAAAUAUAUGUUAAGUGGAAAAGGAUGUGGCGUUGCCCAGACAACUAGGAUGUUGGCUUAGAAGCAGCCAUCAUUUAAAGAGUGCGUAAUAGCUCACUAGUCGAGUGACACUGCGCCGAAAAUGUACCGGGGCUAAACAUAUUACCGAAGCUGUGGAUUGUCCUUUGGACAAUGGUAGGAGAGCGUUCUAAGGGCGUUGAAGCAUGAUCGUAAGGACAUGUGGAGCGCUUAGAAGUGAGAAUGCCGGUGUGAGUAGCGAAAGACGGGUGAGAAUCCCGUCCACCGAUUGACUAAGGUUUCCAGAGGAAGGCUCGUCCGCUCUGGGUUAGUCGGGUCCUAAGCUGAGGCCGACAGGCGUAGGCGAUGGAUAACAGGUUGAUAUUCCUGUACCACCUAUA